GGGGAGGCGGGGGUGAGUGAGUAGUCUGGGGUGGGCUGUUAGAGGCACUGUGUCUUUAAAAUAAUGAGCCAUCUCCUCCCAGGUUUGGUAGCUGAGGGGGACACAGGAGGAGAAGCCAUAAGAGAGGAGAACAAGAAGGAGGAGGAGGAGAAGGAGAAGAAGAAGAAGGGGUGACAGGGGGCAGAGAGCGAUGGGAGGAGGGUGAAAGUGUAACCUGAGAGCCGACAGGAACGCAGAGUGACGUAAGGGAGCUACAGGACGGUUGGUGAUCACAUGCAUGAAUGGAGGGCCGCUAUGGACCGCGGUUACAGGACAAGAACACCAACACUCGGCCUCGCUGGGGGGCAAAGACGAGGCCGAGCUCACCGCCGAUCGGCCACAAACUCAGAGAUAAGCUCGCCUACGACACGUACAAACACCCAAACUGAGAUUAACACAGGGAAGGUAAAGAGGGAAACACCUGCUGCACAGAGACAGAAAACAGGUCGGUGCUUCAGGUGCAACACAAAAGACAAACAGACGAGGAAAAGAGCUGGCAGACGUGAUGUAGGUGGGCGGUUUGGAGGACAAUGACCGUGAUCCCUGCAUGGCCCACCCUCAUUCUGAGAGACCACCCAUAAGCAGACAGCUCGCUGCUCUCACUGAAUGUACAGGGAGCGCUUAAUUACAAUAACAGCCCAAUCAGGCGCUAACGAGCCCGGGUGGGGGCAGAGCGCAGGGCUGGAACGUACUGUACCGUACUGUAGCACUCUAUAGGAGAAAUGUGGGCCGUCCACCCGCCUUCCCCGUCUGUUUGACACUUAAUUUGGCAGCAGGAAUGAGGAGAGCGGGAGGCGGCAGAGGAGGGAGGGCGACGGACCAAUGGGAACGGCGGAGGGAACAGCUUCAACGGGGAGAUUAGCAAAUUAAUCAGAGAGGACAGUUUUCCUCACAACAAACGUACGGGGACAGAUACAGUCUAGACGUUUGCCAGCAUGCUCCAGCAGUCUGCAGCUCUUUUCACACAUUCAAGCUGCGACACGAACUGAAUAAAACGCUAAAUAAAACCCCACGUGUAAAUAAAUCACAGACUUUAUUAGACAGACUGAGUGGCUGCUUUCACGACUGGUCGAGGAAAAAAAGGGGAAUUCUGUUAGUUUUCAUUUUCUACCAGGUUGUAAAGCGGUUAUUUAGUAAACCAGAGUGAAUGAAAGCUGCAAAGUGGUGGAAGAUGUGACAAGAUGUGAACUAAAAGUCCUGCAUUCAAAGGUUUGUUAAAAGAAAAGUAAAUAAUUUGCAGUAAAAUUUCACAGUUUUACUCAA